rnacentral:misc_RNA from 1 species
GGAAAUGGAUAAUACCAACAUGCUUACAGCUACUGAUGGCGAUGGUGGAUUGCCUGCUAGUCCUAGACUAAGAUUCAAUAAGGAAGGCUCAUUGCUGGCUGUCACGACGAGUGAUAACGGAAUCAAGGUUCUGGCAAAUACUGAUGGACAGCGAAUGCUGAGGAUGCUGGAGAGCAGGGCAUUUGAGGGUUCUCGUGCGCUUUCUGAUGUCAAUGUUAAGCCACCAAUUGCUGGUUCCUUGGGUCCAAUUCCUAAUAUAUCUGGCUCGGCACCUCAAAUCAUUGAACGUAGUGAUAGAACUCAGCAAUCAAUGUCUAUCGGCAAUCUGGCCACCAUGGAAAGCAGCAGAGGUCCCGAUGUAAAACCUAGAAUUGCAGAAAAUAUGGACAAGAUUAAAAGCUGGAAAUUCUCUGACAUUGCUGACUCAUCUCAACUUAAAACGCUAAAGUUGCCAGACCCUCUGUCAGCAAGCAAGGUACUGCGGCUGCUCUAUACUAAUUCUGGGCUUUCUGUGCUGGCACUCAGCUCUAAUGCCAUUCAUAAGCUCUGGAAAUGGCAGAGAAAUGAGCGAAAUCCAUCUGGAAAGUCUUCUGCAGCAGUUGUUCCACAACUGUGGCAGCCAACAAAUGGAGCACUCAUGUCUAAUGAUGUCGGUG